AGAUUAACAUUAAUACUGUGUUAUUAUAAUUAGUGCUACGAAACGCAGCGGUAGCGAGACCCAACAAGUGGUUUUCUCUCAAGUAGGUUAGAGAGAGAGAUUCUUUCGUCCUAUGUGUUGGUGCUGAAUGAUAAAGGUCUGCUGCUUCCCUGUUUAAUGGUCAUUUAUACAGAGGCAUGAGAAACUUGAACCUCCGCCUGUGCGGGUAUGACGCAAGUGAGAUACCGGACAAACUAUGUCUUUGUUGCCCUGCAUGAUAUGGUGGUGCGGACUUGCUGCUCCUCUUGGCUCCCAUGACCUCUGGGUUUUCUCAGAUUCCGUGGCCUCGGUCUUUAACUUAUUAAUCUAUUUGCUAUGAAUGAAAUAUUUAUCUAUUGUUAAAAGAGAAAUGCAGUGGUCAAUAUAGAUCAGUAAUAACUGCAUAUAUAA